AGGACCCCUGGAGCGUUAAGCUCGUAGUUGACUUAUGGGCUUGGUCAGCCGGUCCGCUUUUUUGCGUGUACUGGUCCUGACCGAGCCUUUCCUUCUGGCUAACCUGUCUCUCGGGGCAGGCGAACCAGGACUUUUACUUUGAAAAAAUUAGAGUGUUCAAAGCAGGCCUUUGCUCGAAUAUAUUAGCAUGGAAUAAUAGAAUAGGACGUUUGGUUCUAUUUUGUUGGUUUCUAGGACCAUCGUAAUGAUUAAUAGGGACGGUCGGGGGCAUCAGUAUUCAAUUGUCAGAGGUGAAUUUCUCGGAUUAAAACA
rnacentral:rRNA from 1 species